GACAGAGGGUGCAAACGUUGUUCGGAAUUACUGGGCGUAAAGCGCGUGUAGGCGGCUCGGAAAGUCGGGUGUGAAAGCCCUGGGCUCAACCCAGGAAGUGCACUCGAAACUCCCGAGCUGGAGUCCCGGAGAGGAAAGUGGAAUUCUCGGUGUAGAGGUGAAAUUCGUAGAUAUCGAGAGGAACAUCUGUGGCGAAGGCGGCUUUCUGGACGGUGACUGACGCUGAGACGCGAAAGCCAGGGGAGCAAACGGG
rnacentral:rRNA from 1 species